AUAAGGAUUGGCUCUGAGGACUGAGCCGGUCGGGCUGGGGACCUGAAGCAGGAACGGCACUGCACCGGGACUGGGCGGGGCUCGCCGUUCACGCGGCGCGGCCAAGCCCGGACCAGCGUCGGGACCUUCCUGUGGAAAGCCUCAGCUGCGCGGCGUCUGAGGGCUUCGUGCCCAAAGUGCUAUGCUUCGGCCGGCAAAAAACAGUCAACUCAGAACUGGCACGGACCGGGGGAAUCCGACUGUCUAAUUAAAACAAAGCAUUGCGAUGGCCGCUGGUCGGUGUUGACGCAAUGUGAUUUCUGCCCAGUGCUCUGAAUGUCAACGUGAAGAGAUUCAUCAAAGCGCGGGUAAACGGCGGGAGUAACUAUGACUCUCUUGUCGGGAGUAACUAUGACUCUCUUGUGAGCGGGCUUAGCGCACGCGUUGGAUCACAGAGGGUAGCCCCGAUAGGAUCACCCUCUGUGAUCCUAUCG
rnacentral:ncRNA from 1 species